CAGAAUUUUUGAAGAAUAAAAGAUUCUUAUGGGAUAUCCAGUUUGACACAUCUAAUAGCUGGUUGAAGAUGAGAAUCUGUAAGUCAAGUGAGUGACUGGGGAUAGAUAAAUAGAUCUAAGGCUCAUCAUGACCGCUAUUAUUGAAACCAUGAGAACUGAUGACAUCACCAACUAUAACAGAAUUUAGGAAAAAGAGAAGGGGGCCCACAAUAGAAGCCUGGUGGGACACCUACUUUUAGGACAUGUGAUCCGGAUGAAGAUUCAAGAAAAAACCUGACAAGAGGUCAGACAGUUAAAAGAAGAACCAGAAAUGAUUAAUGUCUUUAUAGAGUGAAAACUUUAAAGCAACCAGUUCCUCCUUCUUCAGGAAAAGCAAGUAUAUUAAAUGCGCAACAGUAACACUUACGCCUUGAAGCCUAGCUCUCUUCUGAACACUCUUCUUUCUGUAAAGGACAGCGGCAUCAUUCUAGUCAACCAGAUCCACAGCCUUGUAGCGAUCCUCAGCUCUUCCCUUUCAGCAGCAUCAUUCUAGUCAACCAGAUCCACAGCCUUGCAGCGAUCCUCAGCUCUUCCCUUUCAGCAGCAUCAUUCUAGUCAACCAGAUCCACAGCCUUGCAGCGAUCCUCAGCUCUUCCCUUUCAGCAGCAUCAUUCUAGUCAACCAGAUCCACAGCCUUGCAGCCAUCCUCAGCUCUUCCCUUUCAGCAGCAUCAUUCUAGUCAACCAGAUCCACAGCCUUGCAGCGAUCCUCAGCUCUUCCCUUUCAGCAGCAUCAUUCUAGUCAACCAGAUCCACAGCCUUGCAGCGAUCCUCAGCUCUUCCCUUUCAGCGGCAUCAUUCUAGUCAACCAGAUCCACAGCCUUGCAGCGAUCCUCAGCUCUUCCCUUUCAGCGGCAUCAUUCUAGUCAACCAGAUCCACAGCCUUGCAGCCAUCCUCAGCUCUUCCCUUUCCCUCAGCCCAAAUAUCCAAACCCCAUCAAAUCUCCCAUAUACCGCCAGCAUGUCUCCUCCCCUUCACUCAUACCCUUUAGUUCAGGCGGAUUUAUCCCCUCUCCCUUUGACAGAGUGACCUGACCAAAGUUCUGGUUUGACAAUGUCAUCCUUGAUUCAACAAACUCCCAUAGCUCCAGUUAACUCUAGAGUCAGUUAUAAAGUCCAUCAUUUAGCACACAAAGCCUUUUAGAAGCUGGGCUCAACCUCCAUUUCCAGGCUUAUCAUUCCCUACUCAUCCUCCUGCAUUCCAGGGUUCGGCUGGAUUGUUUUUUCACACUCAUUCAAAAAGACAACUAAAAUAUCCAGCCAUGAAUACAAAAUUAGCACAAAGCUGUCUACUUGCCAGAAUCACAAAUAAUGAGCAAUGAAUUUAUAGAGAAACUUUCUGCUGGGUGGAAAUUAGUGAUAAUUCAAUUUGCUUGUUUUUA
rnacentral:lncRNA from 1 species